rnacentral:rRNA from 1 species
GACGAACGCUGGCGGCGUGCUUAACACAUGCAAGUCGAACGCUGAAGCUUGGUGCUUGCACUGGGUGGAUGAGUGGCGAACGGGUGAGUAAUACGUGAGUAACCUGCCCUUGACUCUGGGAUAAGCCUGGGAAACAGGGUCUAAUACUGGAUACGACAUGCCACUGCAUGGUGGUGUGUGGAAAGGGUUUUACUGGUUUUGGAUGGGCUCACGGCCUAUCAGCUUGUUGGUGGGGUAAUGGCCUACCAAGGCGACGACGGGUAGCCGGCCUGAGAGGGUGACCGGCCACACUGGGACUGAGACACGGCCCAGACUCCUACGGGAGGCAGCAGUGGGGAAUAUUGCACAAUGGGCGGAAGCCUGAUGCAGCGACGCCGCGUGAGGGAUGACGGCCUUCGGGUUGUAAACCUCUUUCAGCACGGAAGAAGCGAGAGUGACGGUACGUGCAGAAGAAGCGCCGGCUAACUACGUG